AUUGAACGCUGGCGGCAUGCCUUACACAUGCAAGUCGAACGGCAGCACGGACUUCGGUCUGGUGGCGAGUGGCGAACGGGUGAGUAAUAUAUCGGAACGUACCUUUCAGUGGGGGAUAACUAUCCGAAAGGAUAGCUAAUACCGCAUAUUCUGUGAGCAGGAAAGCAGGGGAUCUUCGGACCUUGCGCUGAUUGAGCGGCCGAUAUCAGAUUAGCUAGUUGGUGGGGUAAAGGCCUACCAAGGCGACGAUCUGUAGCGGGUCUGAGAGGAUGAUCCGCCACACUGGAACUGAGACACGGUCCAGACUCCUACGGGAGGCAGCAGUGGGGAAUUUUGGACAAUGGGGGCAACCCUGAUCCAGCCAUGCCGCGUGAGUGAAGAAGGCCUUCGGGUUGUAAAGCUCUUUCGUCCGGGAAGAAAUCGCAUUGGCUAAUACCUGAUGUGGAUGACGGUACCGGAAUAAGAAGCACCGGCUAACUACGUGCCAGCCGCCGCGGUAAAAC
rnacentral:rRNA from 1 species